rnacentral:rRNA from 1 species
AUAUUUGUAUAGUAAUAAAUAUUUCUAUAAAAAGCUCUUUAUGUUAUGAAUUCAAUGCCUGAAAAUAGAAGAUAAAUUUAAAUUUUUUGAAAAAUAAAACUAGGCUUUUUAUUAAUUCUGGCGAAGCCUGUGCCAGCCGCCGCGGUUAUACAGGCAGGGUGAAAAUAUUGUUAUUAAUUAAUAAAUUUAGUAUUGAUAAUAUUUUUAGUUAAUUAGGUGAAAUUAUUAAUUUAAUUGAGUUGCUAGUGUUUUAGGAAAUUUAUGAAUUAAAAUAGGAUUAGAUACCCUAGUAUUGUAAAAUGUGAGAUAGAGAGUGGUUUUAGGGUUAUUAAAUCUAAGUAAUUUGGCGGUACCUUAAGCUUGUUAGAGGAAUUUAUUCUGUAAUUGAUAUGACUCAUGAAUCUUUCUUAAUUUGGUUAAGACAGCUUGUAUAUCGCUAUCAUUUUAUUAUAUUUAAUGAUUAUAAUAGAAAUAGUAUUUAAUUAGAAUGUUAGGUCAAAAUGCAGCUUAAAAUUAAGUUUGAAAUAAAUUACGUUAAUUUAUAUUGGAGGGAAGGAAGAAGAAUUUAGGAUUUAAUAGUAAAUUUAAAUUAUAAUGUUAAGUUGAAUUAAGCUCUGAGGUAUGUACAUAUCGCCCGUCGCUCUCAUUAGUGAGAUAAGUCGUAACAAAGUAAAAGUACCGGAAGGUGUUUU